AAUUGAUGGGAAAUUUGAAACAGACUAUAACAACCACCCCAUCCUCACCUUCGCAAGUUGUCGUUCCCGGCGAUUCGUGCCUGAUCGUUGAGAAGAUAUCACCGUGAGGAUUUGAUUACUAUUUUUGCUGGUUGAUGCGCCUUGUUUGCUUACUUUUGGCAGGUCGUGGGAUGACAAAUCCUGAAAAGAGGUUCCAAAUGGCAUAAAAUGCAGCAGCCACAAUUGAAGCAACAUGGUGAUUUGGGGUAACUGCCACAGCCAUCAUGCCAUAGAAGGUGAAGUAGCACAAUGUGAAG